rnacentral:lncRNA from 10 species
AAAGGAACAAAAGGGAAGUUUUUGAGGUACUAAUAAAAAUACUCAAUUUCUUGAUUGUGAGGGUGUUUUCAUUGCUAUAUACAUUUGUCACAAUUCAUAGAACUAACCCUAAAAGAAUGCAUUUUUGUGUAUGUAAAUCUUAUAAACCUGACAAAAAAUACCUUGAAAUUCACACAAAUAUUUACAUAAUAAGGGACAAAUACCGGGUUUUAAAAGAUGUGUACAUUAAUAGGUGUAUUCAUGUGUUUGAUGUCUAUCUGACUGACAGUAAUAUAUUUUCUAUUUGUAAACACAAACAAGGUAGAGAAAAAGUGCCUUAUUUUAGGCAAUAUGCUAAGCUGGUAUUUGGCAGCAGUACCACACAAAGUUGGCAUGCCUUUGCCUAGGCAUUUCACAUUGUGAAUAUUUAGUACCUUAGUUGUUAUUGAUGUUUUCUUAAUACCUAAAUUAUUUCAUGGCAUAAACUGAAUGUAUAUUUGAAAGAAGACUUCAUCUUCUAAGAAUUCUAGUUGCCUCCUGAUCCCAAUCCACUAGGAUUUAUUGAGGUUUAGUAACUUGGACAACAUCAUAGAACUUCAAAUAGGUGGUACAAGGAAUCAAACUAACUACUUUGCUCUUAAGUCUGGAGCUGUUAUGAUUAUGUCAGGACUUCCUCUUGCCUAUAUUGUAUGGUCUGAUGUUGGCUGUCUGUAGUAAGUUGAUUUAGGAUGACUGGGGCUAAAAUUUCUCAGGCUUGUGACACAAAUAAGUCUCAAUUCUAGUUUAUGAACAAUAUCUUCUUGCUUAAUUUUUAUUAUAUAAUAAUGCUAAUUGAUAUGGAAUAAUUAUCAAUUAUAAUGAAGCUCAAAGAAAAAUGCAGCUCAUAUCCCACUCUCCAAAAGUUCAUUUAUUAAUGAUUUGGAGUUCAUUUGUUCGUACUCUUAAAUUUGUAUGUUUUUAGAAAUUGGAAGUUUAUUAAAGCUGUUUAUUACUAUUUUUAUUGAACAAUUACCAUGACCUUACUUUCCACGUUAAUAAAUAUGGAUUUUUAAAAUAAAUUUAGGGGGUACAAGUGCAGAUUUGUUACAUGGACAUAUUUCAGAAGUCUGGGUUUUUGACAAUACAUGCUUGCCAAAUGUAGUGUGUCCAUGAGGAAAUGUAUGAUUCCAUAAAUAUUUUCAGAGGGCAGAUAGAUUUUUCCUUAACAUCAUAAACAAUUCAAUGAACAACUAGAAUUCAAAAUAGUAAUAAAUCACAUAUGCUAGAAUAAAAAACAAUGAAGUACAAUGUAAAUGACAUAUCUGUGGAAAGCUAGAAUAAAACAUAAUGAAGUACAAUGUAAAUGACAUAUCUGUGGAAAACUGAUGGAAGAAAUCAAAUACCUAAAUUAUAAGAGAGAUGCUCCAUACUCAUAUGUUAGAAGGCUCAGCAUUAUUUAAACUUCACUUUUUUACAACUUGAGGUGUUUGUUGAAUGUAAUCCCCAUUAAAGUCCAAUUUAUGUUGUAGUUAUCAAUAAACUGAAUCUAAAAUUAAAUGGAGCAACAAGAACUUAAAAAUAUUUGACAUAAUAUUGAAGAAGAACCAAGCAAAAGGAUUCACAUGAUCUUAUUUUAAGAUUUGCUGUAAAACUAUUGUAAUCAA